rnacentral:rRNA from 1 species
GACGAACGCUGGCGGCGUGCUUAACACAUGCAAGUCGAACGGAAAGGCCUGCUUUCCCUUGUGGAUUGCGGGUACUCGAGUGGUGAACGGGUGAGUAACACGUGAGUGAUCUGCCCCCAACUUGGGUAUAAGCCUGGGAAACUGGGUCUAAUUCCCGAUAGGACUGCAGGGUGGUGCCUGUGGUGGAAAACGAUUUUCUAGUGGUUGGGGAUGAGCUCGCGGCCUAUCAGCUUGUUGGUGGGGUAAUGGCCUACCAAGGCGGCGACGGGUAGCCGGCCUGAGAGGGUGGACGGCGACAUUGGGACUGAGAUACGGCCCAGACUCCUACGGGAGGCAGCAGUGGGGAAUAUUGCACAAUGGGCGGAAGCCUGAUGCAGCGACGCCGCGUGGGGGAUGACGGCCUUCGGGUUGUAAACUCCUUUCGACCGCGAGGAAGCCACCUGGUUGGAAGGGUGGUGACGGUAGUGGUAGAAGAAGCACCGGCUAACUACGUG